UCCCUGGUAGUCCAGUGAUUACGACUCUGUGCUUCCACCGCAGGGGACACAGGUUCAAUCCCUAGUCAGGGAA
rfam:TPA: Bos taurus chromosome 21, whole genome shotgun sequence.